GAACUGAAACAUCUAAGUACCCCGAGGAAAAGAAAUCAACCGAGAUUCCCCCAGUAGCGGCGAGCGAACGGGGAGCAGCCCGGAGUCUGAAUCAGCUUGUGUGUUAGUGGAACGGUCUGGAAAGUCCGACGGUACAGGGUGAUAGUCCCGUACACGAAAAUACACUUGCUGUGAACUCGAAGAGUAGGGCGGGACACGUGGUAUCCUGUCUGAAUAUGGGGGGACCAUCCUCCAAGGCUAAAUACUCCUGACUGACCGAUAGUGAACCAGUACCGUGAGGGAAAGGCGAAAAGAACCCCGGCGAGGGGAGUGAAAAAGAACCUGAAACCGUGUACGUACAAGCAGUGGGAGCCUCUUUAUGGGGUGACUGCGUACCUUUUGUAUAAUGGGUCAGCGACUUAUAUUYUGUAGCAAGGUUAACCGUAUAGGGGAGCCGAAGGGAAACCGAGUCUUAACUGGGCGUUAAGUUGCAGGGUAUAGACCCGAAACCCGGUGAUCUAGCCAUGGGCAGGUUGAAGGUUGGGUAACACUAACUGGAGGACCGAACCGACUAAUGUUGAAAAAUUAGCGGAUGACCUGUGGCUGGGGGUGAAAGGCCAAUCAAACCGGGAGAUAGCUGGUUCUCCCCGAAAGCUAUUUAGGUAGCGCCUCGUGAACUCAUCUUCGGGGGUAGAGCACUGUUUCGGCUAGGGGGCCAUCCCGGCUCU
rnacentral:rRNA from 1 species